UACGUAGGGUGCAAGCGUUGUCCGGAAUUAUUGGGCGUAAAGAGCUCGUAGGCGGUUCCGUAAGUCAGGUGUGAAACCUCCAGGCUCAACCUGGAGACGCCACCUGAUACUGCGGUGACUGGAGUCCGGUAGGGGAGCGUGGAAUUCCUGGUGUAGCGGUGAAAUGCGCAGAUAUCAGGAGGAACACCGGUGGCGAAGGCGGGUCUCUGGGCCGAUACUGACGCUGAGGAGCGAAAGCGUGGGGAGCGAACAGG
rnacentral:rRNA from 1 species